UGCAAACACAAAACCUCCACGGUUGUUUGCCUGGAAAAGCAAUCAAAAGCCCCCUCAAAAAGCCAAUUUCUAAUCAAUUCGAAUUCGAAACCAAAGUCAAAAUCAAAAUUGAAGCUUUGAAAUUAGGGUUACAAUCUAAGCAUUCAAGCUGUUAAGCUUGUCUGAGAAGCAAAAGCGCUCAGAUUCUAAUCGAUGGGGAAGAGAAAAGAGCGUCGUCUUGCAGCUAAGACCAACGCUGGUCGCAGAGUCAAGCUCGAUCUUUUCGCGGAACCCUCUGGAGAUUUGGGUGGCUCUGCUGAACAUGAUGAGCUUGGAGGAGAUAUGAAAUCCAAAGGCCAUGAUGGGUUACCCAAUUCACCAUCUUCUUCAGGUGGGUUCCGUCAGUUUUCUUCAAAAAGGACUUUGUAGAGAGGACAUGUGUGCUCAACAUUAUGUUGUUCGGUGGAAUUAUGGAUACUAUAUGUGCAAGACAUGUUAUGUUGUUUGCCCCCCAAGAUUUUGUUUUCAGACUGUAGGGUGGCUGUUGUCUUGUUGAGAACAUUCACUGUCAGAUCAGGUCGGGCCCAGCCACAGUGAAAUUAUGAAUCACCCCUAUUCGUUAUGCCCUUUUUGGCACCAACAAAGCGUUUUGGAGAU